GACGAACGCUGGCGGCGUGCCUAACACAUGCAAGUCGAGCGAGAGACUUCGGUCUCUAGCGGCGGACGGGUGAGUAACACGUGGGUAACCUGCCUCAUAGAGGGGGAUAGCCUUCCGAAAGGAAGAUUAAUACCGCAUAACAUCAGAUUGUCGCAUGGCAGUUUGAUCAAAGGAGUAAUCCGCUAUGAGAUGGACCCGCGGCGCAUUAGCUAGUUGGGGAGGUAACGGCUCACCAAGGCCACGAUGCGUAGCCGACCUGAGAGGGUGAUCGGCCACAUUUGGACUGGGAUACGGUCCAGACUCCUACGGGAGGCAGCAGUGGGGAAUAUUGCACAAUGGGCGAAAGCCUGAUGCAGCAGCGCCGCGUGAGUGAUGAAGGCCUUCGGGUUGUAAAGCUCUGUCUUUGGGGACGAUAAUGACGGUACCCAAGGAGGAAGCCACGGCUAACUACGUGCCAGCCGCCGCAGUAACAC
rnacentral:rRNA from 1 species